GAUGAACGCUGGCGGCGUGCCUAAUACAUGCAAGUCGAGCGAACAGAUGAGGAGCUUGCUCCUCUGACGUUAGCGGCGGACGGGUGAGUAACACGUGGAUAACCUACCUAUAAGACUGGGAUAACUUCGGGAAACCGGAGCUAAUACCGGAUAAUAUAUUGAACCGCAUGGUUCAAUAGUGAAAGACGGUUUUGCUGUCACUUAUAGAUGGAUCCGCGCCGCAUUAGCUAGUUGGUAAGGUAACGGCUUACCAAGGCAACGAUGCGUAGCCGACCUGAGAGGGUGAUCGGCCACACUGGAACUGAGACACGGUCCAGACUCCUACGGGAGGCAGCAGUAGGGAAUCUUCCGCAAUAGGCGAAAGCUUGACGGAGCAACGCCGCGUGAGUGAUGAAGGUCUUCGGAUCGUAAAACUCUGUUAUUAGGGAAGAACAAAUGUGUAAGUAACUAUGCACGUCUUGACGGUACCUAAUCAGAAAGCCACGGCUAACUACGUG
rnacentral:rRNA from 1 species